rnacentral:rRNA from 1 species
GACGAACGCUGGCGGCGUGCUUAACACAUGCAAGUCGAACGAAGUGGCGAACGGGUGAGUGAAGCGUAAUCAACCUGCCCUUCAGAGGGGGACAACAGUAGGAAACGACUGCUAAUACCGCAUACUGAAGGAGGGGAUUCCGUCUUAUUGGCUAGUUGGAGGGGGAACGGCCCACCAAGGCGAUGAUCCGGAGCCGGUCUGAGAGGAUGAACGGCCACAUUGGGACUGAGACACGUCCCAGACUCCUACGGGAAGCAGCAGUGGGGAAUCUUCCGCAAUGGACGAAAGUCUGACGGAGCAACGCCGCGUGAGUGAUGACGGCCUUCGGGUUGUAAAGCUCUGUUAAUCGGGACGCGGUACCGGAAUAGAAAGCCACGGCUAACUACGUGCCAGCAGCCGCGGUAAUUC